GGCGUGGUAGCCAAGUGGUAAGGCAUGGGUCUGCAAAACCCUUACACGCGGGUUCGAUUCCCGCCCACGCCUUCA
rnacentral:tRNA from 1 species